rnacentral:rRNA from 1 species
CCUACGGGCGGCUGCAGUCGAGAAUCAUUCACAAUGGGGGAAACCCUGAUGGGGCGACGCCGCGUGGGGGAAUGAAGGUCUUCGGAUUGUAAACCCCUGUCAUGUGGGAGCAAAUUAAAAAGAUAGUACCACAAGAGGAAGAGACGGCUAACCCUGUGCCAGCAGCCGCGGUAAUACAGAGGUCUCAAGCGUUGUUCGGAACCACUGGGCGUAAAGCGUGCGUAGGCGGUUUCGUAAGUCGUGUGUGACAGGCGCGGGCUCACCCCGCGGACGGCACAUGAUACUGCGAGACUAGAGUAAUGGAGGGGGAACCGGCAUUCUCGUUGUCGCCG